GUGUCAGCCGCCGCGGUAAGACGAACCGUGCGAACGUUAUUCGGAAUCACUGGGCUUAAAGCGUGCGUAGGCGGCUCAGAAAGUUGGGUGUGAAAUCUCUCGGCUCAACCGAGGAACUGCGCUCAAAACUACUGGGCUUGAGGAAGUUAGAGGAGGGCGGAACUCACAGUGGAGCGGUGAAAUGCGUAGAUAUUGUGAGGAACACCGGUGGCGAAAGCGGCCCUCUGGGGCUUUUCUGACGCUGAGGCACGAAAGCUAGGGGAGCAAACGGGAUUAGAUACCCCGGUAGUCCUAGCUGUAAACGAUGAGCACUGGGUCGUGGGAACCUCCACAUUCCCUCGGCCGUAGCGAAAGCGUUAAGUGCUCCGCCUGGGGAGUAUGGUCGCAAGGCUGAAACUUAAAGGAAUUGGCGGGG
rnacentral:rRNA from 1 species